AUACGUAGGUGGCAAGCGUUGUCCGGACUUAUUGGGCGUAAAGCGAGCGCAGGCGGUUCUUUAAGUCUGAUGUGAAAGCCCCCGGCUCAACCGGGGAGGGUAAUUGGAAACUGGGAGACUUGAGUGGAGAAGAGGAGAGGGGAAUUCCAUGUGUAGCGGUGGAAUGAGUAGAUAUAUGGAGGAACACCAGUGGCGAAGGCGACUCUCUGGUCUGUAACUGACGCUGAGGCUCGAAAGCGUGGGGAGCAAACAGGAUUAGAUACCCUGGUAGUCCACGCCGUAAACGAUGAGUGCUAAGUGUUGGAGGGUUUCCGCCCUUCAGUGCUGCAGCUAACGCAUUAAGCACUCCGCCUGGGGAGUACGACCGCAAGGUUGAAACUCAAAUGAAUUGACGGGG
rnacentral:rRNA from 1 species